AACAUUGAUAGCUAUUGGAUAUAGAUAUAAGUGCGUAUAAAAAUUGAAAUUUACUCGUUGGUUGGUAGUUUAAAAAAAAUGCAGUGUUUUGUACUUCUUAUUGUAGGACUUUGUGCCACAUCUGUGGCAUCACAAUGUGUCACGGCUCGGUCCGGGCCAGUUCCAUCUGAUUAUGUAUCAUUUUCCGUUGACGAUGCAGUGCUGACCCCCGACUAUUCCCGUUGGCGUAUAAACUACUUACCAAGGUGCUACGGCGGAGUAUUAGAAGUCAGCACUUGCGAUCCAUUCACGCAACCGACAAUCAAAAUACUAUCAGAGACCGAAGUAAUUGUGUCUCGCGGUAUACCGAGGUUGACACUGAAAGUCCACGCCAAAUUCUGGUGUGCGGAGAACUCUAAUGGAUUUCCAAAGGUUCCGCCUGUUGUAACUCCACUCCAGAGGUCAUAGAAUCAUGGGAUAGCUCUUAUUAAUAAAAAGUUACUUACUUCCAGCUACAGUAUGUUUUGUCUUGUUUUGGCAAUGUCAAACAUUAUAUUCAAAAUUCAAAUUCAAAUUCAAAAUUCAAAAUUCUUUAUUCAAUUUAGGAUGAUAUACAUCACUUAUUGACGUCAAAAAAAUUACUUAAACUAAGUCUACUGCCGGCUUCCAAAGCGCAAGUGAAGAAGAAGCGGCGCAACAAACUUCACCGCAGCCUUUUCUCCAAGGACGUCAAUUAACAAAUAUAGGUCUUAUAUAUAUAUUCUUCUUAUAAAAUGUGAUAGCGACAAGACCAUGGAAUUAGUAGGUACUCUGUACAAUGAAGUACUUACUAAAUCCAUGGACAAGACAUACUUAUUUUGUUAUGCAAAACUUUAGAUUUUGGGUUAAAAUCUAUAAAGUUUUCAUCUCAAAAACUAUACAUGCUACAGAUAACUGUAGCAUGUUUUUGAGAUACAGAUGGGCCCUCAGACGGCACUAUGAGGACUGAGGGCCUUUCGUAAAACAUUGUAUCUCGCUUAUUUGGCUUUCACAAAAUCUAAUUCCAACUUUCAAAAUUCUAUUGGAAUGUUCACUAAGUCCCUAGCAUAAUUUCAUAGAAUUUCAAGAAUUGGGCAAUCAUACCACACGCACAUGUUUAUUUUCUUUUUUAUGAAUAAGAGGGCCGAUCUAUAAAGAGUAGACAAAAAAUGCAGAGACUGUAACCUCUUUUGAGUGUUCAUUUCGGUAAUUCAAAAAAAACGCAGUUCGUCAAAAAUCCAUUUUAUUCUCUGCUUUUUAUAAACAGUCUGUGCCAACAUUUUUAAAUAACGAAAAAUGUAGUUUUUUUUUUUAAUUUUCUGAAGUUGUAUAUUCUGUCGUGCAUUGUUAAUUUUGUGUAGAUUCCAUCGUAAAUACUUAUGUAAUCUAUAUACAUAUAAAAAUAAUAAUAUUUAAUUGUUUUGAUGUAUAUUUUGCAAGUCUAGUAAUGUUUAUAAUUAUUAUUAGUUUUAUCAAAUAGUUAUUAUUGAUGUAGGUAAUAAUAUGUGUUACAGUUUGCCUUGUGGUUUUAUUAUAAAAUUUGGAUGAAGAAUAAAAUAGUUCACUUCUUUGGUAACUUAAUCUUACUAAAAUUAUAAAUGUGAAAAUUUGCAAGGAUGUAUAUAUGUACGUUUGAAAUCAAAUCAAAUUAUUAUGGGAUAUUAUACCGUCAUUUUGUACCUAUGCAAAAAAAAAACGCUGUGAAGUUUGUUGCGCUGCUUCUCAGUGUUGUUGACUGUACAUCAUUCUAGUAAAUACAACAUUAUUGUGAAACAUUUUUUUGAAGUUUUAGCAAAUAAAUCAAUCGAUACCGAAACAAAAUAAUAUCAGAACGUUCGAGGUUCAACUGCGAUGCAGGUGAAGUUAUUCGUUCGAGUAGUAAGUAGGUGUACAGGUACAAUUACUUGGAACAGAUUAUAAACCAGAAAAUAUAAUCGAACAACAUGUCUUACUAACCGUGGUAAUUAUAAAUAUAAUGUUGUGUUGCCAAAGCAAUCACAAAUCGAUAUCAGCGUUGUACAGUCACAUCAAAUUACCCUGCAUGAACCUCUAUGACGCGUUAAUAGCGGCGAGUUUGCAGUGAAUUUGGCUAGGUUAAUGUGCUGUCGACUGUACUUAACAAUAUUGCAUUAAACUCGGCAAAUUGGUACUUACAGGAAAGUAUUUCUUCGUUAUUGUUUAAAAAUGCACAAUAGUUUACGUUUUUAACUUUGUUUUACAGAGUGUCGUGUAAAAUUUUCAGUUCAAGUUUGUUUAUAGGUAGUAAGCAGAAAACAGUUUUUUUACGUACUGUUUUUUACAUAUUAUUAUUAUAUAUUAUAUUAUUGUUUUUUAUAUAUUAUAUUACCGAAAGGUCUUGGGUUCGAUCCCCGGUCGGGUCAUGAUGGAAAAUGAUCUUUUUCUGAUUGGCUCGGGUCUUGGAUGUUUAUCUAUAUACGUAUUUGUUAUAAAAUAUAGUAUCGUUGACUCAGUAUCCCAUAACACAAGUCUCGAACUUACUUUGGGGCUAUCUCAAUCUAUGUGAUUUGUCCUUAUAUUUAUUUAUAUAUUUAUUAUGUAUAUAUUUUGUAAAAUGAAAAUGUAAAAGUAAUUGAAUGUAUCAUUGCAAUUAAUAAUGGCUCUAUCCAGAGACAUUGAUUCAUCUGUGGCUGUACCAUACCAGGUUUAGUACGAGAUUGCAACGAUAAAUUAUAGAAAAACCAAUGUGAACACAACACAGCGCUUAUCUUAUCGAGUGUGUGAGUGUUGUUUCAGAUUUUAUUCCAGUCACCUAAAGGGAUCUGACAUGAUUUUUAAGAUUACUUACUGCCAGGUAAGUUCACAUCGAUUUCAUUCAUCAAAAGCGAAAUUCUGAAAAAUGUAAUCAAUCCAAUCCAAUAUUUGGAUCAAUCACAAAAAAUAUUCUUCAUUCCAUUUAACAGAUCGAUUUAAUAAUUUGUGUUUACAAAUAAAUAAAUCAAUUUAACACGUAUAUAUUACUUGAUUGAAUAUCCGCGCAAUUUUAUGGUUAUAUAAAUAGCGUAUUGGUAUUAUUUAAUCAUUCGAUUCUACUAAGUAUAUGGUAUUUGCUGUUCAUAGAAAAAAAUAUGAUUUUUGUUUACCUUUUUCUUGCCUUAAGUGGACUGUCGAUAGUAUCUGGACAGAAUCAGUUAAUGUGUACCACUGUGCUUUAUCCUCCGUAUGCGAACCUUAAUGGCGCCAAUCAAGUAAAAAUCAAACCAAUGCCCCUCCCAGCUGGAUUAAACCAAUAUGUUAUACGUUAUGAGAACAGAUGCAGAGUGACAGUGGCACUAAUGGUGAAGGUAUGUGAUGAUGUAGCUCCGUUUGUCAAUCCUGUGAGCCUGAAAGAGGUGGACGUGACGAGGACUGGUAACUUUCAGCAUGUGAACGGCGUGGCGAACGCGUAUUAUUUGUGUCGGUAAUUUAAUAUGGGUUAUGUCUGCCGACCUAUGAAACGAGCUAAAAAAAAACUUGAAAAAUAUAUAAAUGUCAGCACAAAAA